GACGGUACCGUACGAAUAAUCACCGGCUAACUCCGUGCCAGCAGCCGCGGUAAUACGGAGGAUGCAAGCGUUAUCCGGAAUCAUUGGGUUUAAAGGGUCCGUAGGCGGGCAUAUAAGUCAGAGGUGAAAUGCUGUGGCUCAACCGUAGCACUGCCUUUGAUACUGUAUGUCUUGAAUUAUUGUGAAGUGGUUAGAAUAUGUAGUGUAGCGGUGAAAUGCUUAGAUAUUACAUAGAAUACCGAUUGCGAAGGCAGAUCACUAACAAUAUAUUGACGCUGAUGGACGAAAGCGUAGGUAGCGAACGGGAUUAGAUACCCCGGUAGUCUACGCCGUAAACGAUGGAUACUAGUUGUUUGGUUUUCGGACUGAGUGACUAAGCGAAAGUGAUAAGUAUCCCACCUGGGGAGUACGUUCGCAAGAAUGAAACUCAAAGGAAUUGACGG
rnacentral:rRNA from 1 species